rnacentral:rRNA from 1 species
UAGGGAAUCUUCGGCAAUGGACGAAAGUCUGACCGAGCAACGCCGCGUGAGUGAAGAAGGUUUUCGGAUCGUAAAACUCUGUUGUUAGAGAAGAACAAGGACGUUAGUAACUGAACGUCCCCUGACGGUAUCUAACCAGAAAGCCACGGCUAACUACGUGCCAGCAGCCGCGGUAAUACGUAGGUGGCAAGCGUUGUCCGGAUUUAUUGGGCGUAAAGCGAGCGCAGGCGGUUUCUUAAGUCUGAUGUGAAAGCCCCCGGCUCAACCGGGGAGGGUCAUUGGAAACUGGGAGACUUGAGUGCAGAAGAGGUGAGUGGAAUUCCAUGUGUAGCGGUGAAAUGCGUAGAAAUAUGGAGGAAAACCAGUGGCGAAGGCGGCUCUCUGGUCUGUAACUGACGCUGAGGCUCGAAAGCGUGGGGAGCAAACAGG